rnacentral:rRNA from 1 species
GACGUAGGGGGCAGCGUGUUCGGAUUCGAUUCGUGGCGUAAAGAGCGUGUAGGCGGCCUGACAAGUCUGCUGUGAAAUCUCGAGGCUCAACUUCGAGCUGUCGGUGGAAACUAUCUGGCUAGAGUCCGGAAGAGGAGAAUGGAAUUCCUGGUGUAGCGGUGAAAUGCGCAGAUAUCAGGAGGAACACCGGUGGCGAAGGCGCUCAUCUGGCCCGAUACUGACGCUGAGGCGCGAAAGCUAGGGUAGCGAACGGG